GAGUUUGAUCCUGGCUCAGUACGAACGCUGGCGGCGCGCCUAACACAUGCAAGUCGAACGAGCGAGAGAGAGCUUGCUUUCUCAAGCGAGUGGCGAACGGGUGAGUAACGCGUGAGGAACCUGCCUCAAAGAGGGGGACAACAGUUGGAAACGACUGCUAAUACCGCAUAAGCCCACAGCUCGGCAUCGAGCAGAGGGAAAAGGAGCAAUCCGCUUUGAGAUGGCCUCGCGUCCGAUUAGCCAGUUGGUGAGGUAAUGGCCCACCAAGGCGACGAUCGGUAGCCGGACUGAGAGGUUGAACGGCCACAUUGGGACUGAGACACGGCCCAGACUCCUACGGGAGGCAGCAGUGGGGAAUAUUGCACAAUGGGGGAAACCCUGAUGCAGCGACGCCGCGUGGAGGAAGAAGGUCUUCGGAUUGUAAACUCCUGUUGUUGAGGAAGAUAAUGACGGUACUCAACAAGGAAGUGACGGCUAACUACGUGCCAGCAGCCGCGGUAAAACGUAGGUCACAAGCGUUGUCCGGAAUUACUGGGUGUAAAGGGAGCGCAGGCGGGAAGACAAGUUGGAAGUGAAAUCUAUGGGCUCAACCCAUAAACUGCUUUCAAAACUGUUUUUCUUGAGUAGUGCAGAGGUAGGCGGAAUUCCCGGUGUAGCGGUGGAAUGCGUAGAUAUCGGGAGGAACACCAGUGGCGAAGGCGGCCUACUGGGCACCAACUGACGCUGAGGCUCGAAAGUGUGGGUAGCAAACAGGAUUAGAUACCCUGGUAGUCCACACCGUAAACGAUGAUUACUAGGUGUUGGAGGAUUGACCCCUUCAGUGCCGCAGUUAACACAAUAAGUAAUCCACCUGGGGAGUACGACCGCAAGGUUGAAACUCAAAGGAAUUGACGGGGGCCCGCACAAGCAGUGGAGUAUGUGGUUUAAUUCGACGCAACGCGAAGAACCUUACCAAGUCUUGACAUCCUGCGACGCACAUAGAAAUAUGUGCUUCCUUCGGGACGCAGAGACAGGUGGUGCAUGGUUGUCGUCAGCUCGUGUCGUGAGAUGUUGGGUUAAGUCCCGCAACGAGCGCAACCCUUACUGUCAGUUACUACGCAAGAGGACUCUGGCAGGACUGCCGUUGACAAAACGGAGGAAGGUGGGGAUGACGUCAAAUCAUCAUGCCCUUUAUGACUUGGGCUACACACGUACUACAAUGGCGUUAAACAAAGAGAAGCAAGACCGCGAGGUGGAGCAAAACUCAGAAACAACGUCCCAGUUCGGACUGCAGGCUGCAACUCGCCUGCACGAAGUCGGAAUUGCUAGUAAUCGUGGAUCAGCAUGCCACGGUGAAUACGUUCCCGGGCCUUGUACACACCGCCCGUC
rnacentral:rRNA from 1 species